GACGAACGCUGGCGGCGUGCCUAAUACAUGCAAGUAGAACGCUGAAGGAGGAGCUUGCUUCUCUGGAUGAGUUGCGAACGGGUGAGUAACGCGUAGGUAACCUGCCUGGUAGCGGGGGAUAACUAUUGGCAACGAUAGCUAAUACCGCAUAAGAGUAGAUGUCGCAUGACAUUUGCUUAAAAGGUGCAAUUGCAUCACUACCAGAUGGACCUGCGUUGUAUUAGCUAGUUGGUGAGGUAACGGCUCACCAAGGCAACGAUACAUAGCCGACCUGAGAGGGUGAUCGGCCACACUGGGACUGAGACACGGCUCAGACUCCUACGGGAGGCAGCAGUAGGGAAUCUUCGGCAAUGGACGGAAGUCUGACCGAGCAACGCCGCGUGAGUGAAGAAGGUUUUCGGAUCGUAAAGCUCUGUUGUAAGAGAAGAACGAGUGUGAGAGUGGAAAGUUCACACCGUGACGGUAUCUUACCAGAAAGGGACGGCUAACUACGUG
rnacentral:rRNA from 1 species